rnacentral:rRNA from 1 species
UACGGGGGGGGCAAGCGUUGUUCGGAAUUACUGGGCGUAAAGGGCUCGUAGGCCGCCAACUAAGCCGGAUGUGAAAUCCCCAGGCUUAACCUGGGAACUGCAUCCGAUACUGGAUGGCUUGAAUUCGGGAGAGGGAUGCAGAAUUCCAAGUGUAGCGGUGAAAUGCGCAGAUAUCGGGAGGAACACCCGUAGCGAAGGCGGCACUCUGGGCCGGAACUGACGCUGAGGAGCGAAAGCGUGGGGAGCAAACAGG